rnacentral:rRNA from 1 species
GAUGAACGCUGGCGGCGUGCCUAAUACAUGCAAGUCGAGCGAACGGACGAGAAGCUUGCUUCUCUGAUGUUAGCGGCGGACGGGUGAGUAACACGUGGAUAACCUACCUAUAAGACUGGGAUAACUUCGGGAAACCGGAGCUAAUACCGGAUAAUAUUUUGAACCGCAUGGUUCAAAAGUGAAAGACGGUCUUGCUGUCACUUAUAGAUGGAUCCGCGCUGCAUUAGCUAGUUGGUAAGGUAACGGCUUACCAAGGCAACGAUGCAUAGCCGACCUGAGAGGGUGAUCGGCCACACGGGACCGGAGACCGGGUCAAGACCCCUAGGGGAGGCAGCAGUAGGGAAUCUCCCGCAAGGGGCGAAAGCCUGCCGGAGCAACGCCGCGUGAGUGAUGAAGGUUUUCGGAUCGUAAAACUCUUUUAUGAGGGAAGAACAAAUGUGUAAGUAACUGUGCACAUCUGGACGGUACCUAAUAAGAAAGCCACGGCUAACUACGUG